GAUGAACGCUGGCGGCGUGCCUAAUACAUGCAAGUCGAGCGAACAGACGCGGCGCUUGCUCCUCUGACGUUAGCGGCGGACGGGUGAGUAACACGUGUAUAACCUACCUAUAAGACUGGGAUAACUUCGGGAAACCGGAGCUAAUACCGGAUAAUAUAUUGAACCGCAUGGUUCAAUAGUGAAAGACGGUUUUGCUGUCACUUAUAGAUGGAUCCGCGCCGCAUUAGCUAGUUGGUAAGGUAACGGCUUACCAAGGCGACGAUGCGUAGCCGACCUGAGAGGGUGAUCGGCCACACGGGAACGUAGACACGGUCCAGACUACUACGGGAGGCAGCAGUAGGGAAUCUUCCGCAAUGGGCGAAAGCCUGACGGAGCAACGCCGCGUGAGUGAUGAAGGUCUUCGGAUCGUAAAACUCUGUUAUUAGGGAAGAACAAAUGUGUAAGUAACUAUGCACGUCUUGACGGUACCUAAUCAGAAAGCCACGGCUAACUACGUG
rnacentral:rRNA from 1 species